GGCCCUCUCAAUAUCCUCUAUGACACGGGCAAAUUCUUCCUUUGACAAAAACUGCUUCCCCGUUCCAUACCAUAGAAUUCCUAAAGGGACUAAACAGACAUGAAAACAAGAGCAAGCCAUUGAGCCUGACAGCACAAAUGCUAUAUAAGCCAAAAAUAACCAACUGCUAAAGUCAGAGUUGAACAUUACAGAGGCUAGCAGAGCUGUUCCCUGUGGCUACCAGUCUACAGCAUGAUCUUUAGUCCACCUCAAGUCUUGUUUAGUCAUCAGCACAACUUCCAAAUCAAAUCCCAGGAUAUCAUCUUCCAGUUCACAAAGGCCGGUGACUGUCCUUCCUCACUAUGCCUCCCCACCAGGGCACACACAUACAUGCAAAGCCCAGGAAAUCCUCCUUAAACUGUGGAGAAAAAAGCUGAGCUUCCUGGUGGUGCUGGACAGGCAGAUGGCCAGCUAGCAAGGCCGGGAAGAGUCUAUAUUAGGAGGCACUAGGCAGUUGUUUCCUAGGCACCUUUUGCAGACUCCUGUUUCACUGAAAAUAAUUCUUUUGCUUCCUGCACAUCACAAAAAAUUCCAAGUAUGUCCGGUGUUGUCUCUAUACUGAGUCUACGUGGAUAAAGAAGAGCUGAAGAGUUCUAGCACUGGAGGAUUUCUGGAAGAGAGAGUAAAGUCCUGACCUAAGGUCUAGUCCUGCCCAUAACCAUCAGUCCUGUUAAUCACAGAACAGCUAUUUACAUCACAGAGCCUAGCCAUCCUUUCUGCUGGAAAAACAUUUUAACAUUCAUCUUACAGAUGCGGAAUCAGACCAAGGAUGUGAAGCACAUGCAUAAGACCACAUGGACAAGGGGCUGGGGAUUUAGCUCAGUGGUAGAGCGCUUGCCUAGGAAGCGCAAGGCCCUGGGUUCGGUCCCCAGCUCCAAAAAAAAAAAAAAAAAAAAAAAAAAAAACCACAUGGACAGUAAGAAGCAGAAUCACAAUUCAGACUUAAGUUGGCAGGAGCUAAGCCUUUCUGUUGUAUAGUACCUACAGUACCAGCAAAGGCUUAGUCGCUCAGAACACAGAUUCAAAAAAGAACUGCUGUGUGCAUGCCAACCCUUCUUUCUAGACCCAGAUUCCCCCAGGACCACAAAAGGACAUCUCUAAGGUUCCUUCCAAGAAUAAAAUUAAAUCUAUCUGCUUGGAACUUUAAAGUAUGCUGAAUGGUAUCUCAUCUGAUCUACACCCCAAGAGACAGCGCCAUUACCAUCACCACCACUCCACAGAGAAGCAGCCUGGGCAAAGAGGAUGGUCAAGUGUCAAGCUGACAAGCUAUACUAAGGAAGGAGCUCAAAGUACGUGCUUCACACAUAGCACCUCCAUUCUAAAGCCCUAAGGCCUAAGCUGAAGACUUUCAGACCUCUCUGAAAAAAUGCUCAGUCUCUAGAUUCAGAUGAACCACAGAAGAACAAUUUGUUCCUUUUUCUUUUAGGAUGCUAGACUUUGCACUGAACAGCCUGCACCCACAGGAGCACCACCAAGUAAAGUAUGGCACUCUCCUGAGGCCAUCUUGUAGUUUUGUAAUUGAACCUGCUGAUGAAAAUCCUCAGCCCACCUCAACUUUCUAGAAAUUAGACCAAACUACUUCCCAAAACAAUGGUCCUCUGGAUACUCUGCUCCCUAACCACAUCAUCAGAUGUCAAAGCUCAUAGAGGUCCCUUCCGGCUGUUCCCAUCAUCACUGAAUCCCUUUCUCUUCCUGUCUUUGCACUCCAGGAAGAUACUUUACUGGAUGCUUUCUUUCCACUAUUCCAAUGUCUCCACUUUAAUGGCUCUGAACAUAUUCAGGCAUAGGGCUUUAACAUUUAAGAAGAAACUUAAAACUUUAAUUUUUCAGCUUCUAAAGAGCAGUUUUCUAAACCCUGAGUCUGCUAAUUACACUGGCGUCCUAAAAAUAUUAUCUCAGUACAAUGCCUCCUUUCUACUCCCACAUGCCCAUCCCCCAAAUGCACACACAUAUACUUCAGACUGCCAUUUAGACACUGGAGAGUAUAAUUUAAAUGUCUUUAAUAGCUUGACUCAAGGGACAUUUGUACAUGAUUCUUCAAUUUACUUCAGAGCUAUGAUCCAAAAGAAGCCUUUAGUGAAUUCAAACACUAAAUAGGCAGAUGCACAAAUAGAAAAUACUAGUAACAUAAUUCAGAUAAGAAUUUAAAUGCAAUUUUCAGAUUUUUGGGGGGGAGGGGAGGUAAGUGAGACAGUGUCUCAUGAUGUAGCCUUGCUGGUCUAUAGCAUGAUAUUUAGACUAGUCUGGCCUUGAAAUUACAGAGAUCCACCUGUCUCUGCCUCCCGAGUCCUGAAAUUAAAAGCAUGCACCAACACAUCUAGCCCAGUUUUUCAGUUUUCAUCUGAAGUCCUUUUAGGAUCAGACAUGUUGACAUACCAUUAGUCCCAGCACACAAGAGGAAGAGACAAGCCAAUCAAAGCUUCAGGGUAAGUCCCUGCCUCAAUAAAGAAAAGAGAAAGUCUUUUUAGUCUAUCUUGCAAACCAUUAUCUGGUAUACAAGAUAUGUACCUCAUAUCAGUUCAAUGAACAUUAAGUACCUUAAUCUUUAACAAACAAGUUAGAAGCCCACUGUAAUUCUGGAGCUAGGUGUGAUGAUACGUGCCUAUAAUCAAUCCCAGCACUAUGUAGGCUGAGGCCAGAGGAUUAAAAUAAAAAAAAAAAAAUCCAUUGUCAUUUUGGUCAUAAUUUAAAUCUAUCUGACCUACAUAAAUGCCAUAUAUGUCAACAGCGAAUAACAAGCAGCUGCUAGCAUUAGAGGCACACAAACCUCUGUCAUUUGAACUGUUGGAAGUUGGUCAUGUUUGGAAGACAGAUGGUUAGCAGCUGCAAGUUCAAUUACAAAGUGCCUGGAAGGAAGGCAAAGAAGGAAGUAAAAGGAUCCAAGUGCCACUUCAUAUAUUAAGCGUGGAAUUCCUUUCCAACAAACAUCUUUCAUUUCCUUGGGGGAAGCCAACUCGGAUAUGCCCUUUGAACUUGAGAGAAAAGCUUCAGAAGAAAGAAUCUAGCAACACACAGACUGAGUGAAGUUGACACAGAAAAGUCACUCCUUCUAAACAUCUCCACUCCAUGACUUGUGUUCUAAGGGAAGAUAGAAGGCAAGGGAGACUCCACUGUGUAGCCAGGCUGAUGGCUUGGAUUAACUGUGUUCAUAGUUGAAUGAGUUGCCUCCUUUUUCACCCUUCAUUUUGUCCUUUGCAAAGCAAAAGGGCAAGAAUUAACUAAAGCACAAGAUGACAGACUUCUAGACCAGUACUUAGAUAUUAUUUGAUGACAGAGAUAGUCUAAAUGUAUGCUACCCAAUAUAGUUGCCAGAUAAGGCUUUUAAAGGUGACUAGUGUAGCUGAGAAACUGGUUAUUUAAACUGUACUGAAUUUUAGUUAAUUUAGAUAUAAAUAUCUUUAUGUGGGUAAUGUCUAGUUUUGAAAAGUACAGCACUACAAAAUCCUACUGCGUUUUAUACAGUGGGGUGGGGAAUGAUGUUAGACUAAGGCUGACCUAAGCUUUAAACCUAGAUCCACAAUUUACCAAUUAUACAAUCUUAGGAAACUGCUCCGCUUCCCUGAGCUUCACAUCCCCUAAUGGUGCAAUAGACUCUGGUCACUGUUCUUGUAGAAUAUCUGUGACUACAGAGACCAGAAGGCCCUCAGUAAAUGUCAGCUGUUUCUCUAGUUCCUCUUUAGUCUUCAGAGUCCACCCUACUAGUCUUCCUGCACACAUCCAUUCUUCUUACCCUGUAGACUGCAAGCUUUAGUCCCCACAGGCAGCCCUGUCUAUCAGGAAAGCAACUUGCCCAGGAGUUGUCCCAGGUCCCCAACUGUGGGCAAGCCUCUGGUGAUGCAAGGCUCGGUGCCUCCGGAACCACUGAUUUCCGCUCACCCUCUAUCCCCUCUGUCUCACAUGAUCAGUAGCAAUUUACACUCCUCCUGUGACUAUCAAGCUGAAACAUAACUCACCAAAACACCUGUCACUUGUUUCUGGUACUUUCCUAACUCCCCUUUUCUUCCCCUGCUAAGGAUAGAAUGGCUUUUUUUAUAUGAAAAUGGCUUAGGAUUUUUUUUUUAAUUAC